rnacentral:tRNA from 1 species
GCGAGCGCAACGGUGGACCUAACCGGCGCCGGUCCACCUUGCCAAGGUGGGGGUCGCGGGUUCGAAUCCCGUCGUCCGCU